rnacentral:ncRNA from 2 species
UCCCCGUACUCUGGAGAGCGGCAGCGGCUUUCAACCAGCAAGCUGCCCACCGAAGGGGCGCGCGAUGAACCGUCGGCAGUAAGACAGUUCGCGCAAUCUCUCAGGUACCGAGAACAGAGGGGUCACG